rnacentral:lncRNA from 1 species
UCACUUGUCACUUGUCACUUGUCACUUGUAGCCAAAGCUACCACUAUUCACUGAUCAGGUAGCUGGUGCUACCAUUUUUCACUGAUCAGGUAGCAGAAGCUACCACUUUUCACUGAUUAGGUAGCAGAAGCUACCACUUUUCACUGAUCAGGUAGCUGAAACUACCACUUUUCACUGAUCAGGUAGCUGAAGCUACCACUUUUUAGUUGUCAUUUGCCAUUGAUCAGAUAAGUGUAGCCGAAGCUAUCACUUAUCACUUUCACUUGUCCUUAAUCAGAUAAGUGUAGCCGAAGUUAUUACUUAUCACUUUCAUUUGUCCUUGAUCAGAUAAGUGUAGCCGAAGCUAUCACUUAUCACUUGUUUCCAUGGUCCAACCAUGGUCUUUUCCUUCAAUUCAUCUUGUCACUGAACUGAAAUGCUCAAUUUGAUCAUUUAUUCAAUUUUCAUGCUUUUACAUUAUUCACGAUUUUAUCAUCAAUACAUAUGAAAUAACUCAUCAUAAAAUUCAUAAAAUUAACAAAUAAUCACUAAAAUUUAGCCAUAUAAACUCACAAGUUCAAUUUUUGUAUUAUAACGACAAUCAUAAUUUCAUAAUAAAUAUUCCAAAUAAAACAUUAUAUCAUUUCUAAUCCAACACUCAUCGAUUAUAACCGGGCAUGUGAUCAAUUUAUACACGAGUCAUUCAUAUAUAUGUAUAUUUUUCCUCCUCCUCCUCUCCAUCCACAUCCUUAGUAUAAACAACUCACUUGUAAGUAACAUUAUCCAUAAUUUUCAUUAUCUACUUAUGUGAAUAUUCAAGCUAUCCAUCUGUGUCAUAGUCACUAAAUUAUUUUUAUCUUGAGCUAUAGAACUCCAAAUUAAGAUCCGCUAAUUUUCUCUGAUACUAUACUCAUAUACCUUCUUACCAUAAAAAUUUCAUAAUUUUUGGUUGGGCCAAUUAAUACAGUUUAUUCAUUGAAGUCUCCGCUGCUCUGCUGUCUGAUAGUUCCGACCCUUCUUCACUAAAAAUUAAUUAUCUUCUUAUACAGGAUUCAAAUGAUGUCCUCAUUUGUUUCUAUUGAAAAUAGACUCAUUCAGGAUUCUAAAAAUAUAAACUUAAGCCCCUAAUUAUUUUUAUCCAAUUUUUUAUGAUUUUCCAAAUUCAGAACAGGGGAACUCGAAAUCAUUCUGACCUUGUCUCACAAAAGUUAUUGUAUCUGAUGAUUUACAAUUCCAUUGCUUACAUAAUUUCUUUUAUAAGAAACUAGACUCAAUAAGCUUUAAUUUCAUAUUUUAUUCAUCCUCUAAUUCGAUUUCUAUAAUUUUUAGUGAUUUUUCAAAGUUAGACUACUGCUACUGUCUAAAACAGUUUUAGUGCAAAAUGUUGAUUUCCAUUUUGCCCCAAAAUUCACAAUUCAUACAAUUCAGUCCUUGCUCAAUUAACCCCUCAAUUAAGAUAAUUUUCUCAAUUAACACUUUUUAUAGACAUUAUAAGUUAUUUCAUAACUAUUGAAAUUCAGAAUUUCCCUAUGAAACUUUAACUUCAAACUCUUUUACAAUGAGGUCCCAAAUAUUCACUUUCUAUUCAAUUCUUUCAAUAAAAUCAGCAUAUAAAUAAUUUAAAGCUCUAAUUCCAUGCCAAAUCAUCAUAUACUUCCAGCACAUAUUCAUAAAAACUUUCAAUUUCUUUCAUAGAAUCAAAAACUAAUGAAUUCAACAAGUGGACCUAGUUGUAAAAGUCACAAAAACAUAAAAAUUUCAAGGAGAAAGCAAGAAUUAAACUUACAUGAAGCUAUAGUAUGAAAACCAGCUUGAACCCUC